AAAGGCGCUCCUCGCAGUCGAGGAAUGUAGUGGGGCACUGGAUGUGUGCUUUUGCAGCAGAUGAAGGAAUCACACGUUUGUGUGUGUGUGUGUGUGUGUGUGUGUGUGUGUGUACUGUGUGACUGUGAGUGUUAGGUUUCAAGGGUGGCGCCACAUCCAUGCCUGUGUAGCUGUGCCAGCGUCAGGUCAGAGUAGUCAAUGGUGGCGGUAGUGGCGGUGGGGUGGGGGGGGGUGUUCCACAGAACCCCCUCUGACAAUCUUGUUCUCAGCCUUAUUUGCUUUCUUGUGGUUGGGCUGUGUCUGUUAGAUGUACAUGGGAGGGGGUGGCUUUUGUCUUUUUUUUUUUUUUUUCCCUUCGGACAUCUGUGUUUGGACAUGAUGUGUUUCCACACAAGGCCCCAAUUAGAAAGCACUUGCAGUAACAAAAGUCAUCAUCAUUUAGGGAGUUAUUGUUAUUACAUUUUUUGAACCAUUAUUUGGUUGAACGAAUAAUUAAUCAGUCAUCAGAUCUGAGUCACUUAUACGUUUUUUUUAAAGGGUUUUCUAAUUAUACAACUACAUUUGUCAGAAAGGGUUAUUUGGGGAAAAGAUUCUGAGCGAUGUCCCAAACAAAUUUCAGUCAUCUCUUUGCAACAGUGUCAUCCAUGUCUGGAGCAAGAAUAGGAAUGUGAACAUCUGCACAGCGACUGCCUAAUUUGUUUGGGGUACUGUCGGAUUUUUUCAAAUUAUGGGCCCGGGGUGUUUUGUCCUCAUCUGGGGUGUGAGGGGGGGGCGGCAGGAUAAAAGUGUGUGUGUUUUUGUUGAACUUGUUGCAACGGCCAUGUGCUGGUAGGGGGUGGAUUUAGCUGUGCUGUGCCUUUACUCAGCAAACACAGGAGCUGUCAAGACACGUUAGCCGCAGCUAGAGUUAUGGCACAGACUGGGCAGAGGUGAGCUGGGAUAGUGGGAAUGGAGUGAGCCAAAUUCUCUUUGAAUCUACGAGCCAUAUAAUGGGGGAGUGAAGAUGAUCCCGGGUGUAAAAUGGAGGCUAGAAAAUCCGAGAUUGUGGGGGAUGGAGUGAAAGGAAGGCCCUUUUAUUAUGAGCUUGGAUGAGCCUUUGUCAUAUGAUUCCCCUUGGCCUUUGUCGCAGGUGUUGCCAGCGUCUCUGCCAGCUGGCCAUGAUGAGCUGCAAGGGUGCGAAAUGGAGGCGGGGGGGGGGCUCAGGAGGUGUGGGGGACAUAUCGGAAGGGCCAUACUGUAGGCUGGUGGCUGGAAGGUUCCCAAA